UAGAGAAUGGUGUAGUGGAAGCACUAAGGGUUUUGAUCCCUUCAGUUAGGGUUCGAAUCCCUUUUUUCUAA
rnacentral:tRNA from 1 species